rnacentral:rRNA from 1 species
UGGCGAACGGGUGAGUAACACGUGGGUGAUCUGCCCUGCACUUCGGGAUAAGCUUGGGAAACUGGGUCUAAUACCGGAUAGGAGCUCCUGCUGCAUGGUGGGGGUUGGAAAGGUUUCGGCGGUUGGGGAUGGACUCGCGGCUUAUCAGCUUGUUGGUGGGGUAGUGGCUUACCAAGGCUUUGACGGGUAGCCGGCCUGAGAGGGUGACCGGCCACAUUGGGACUGAGAUACGGCCCAG